rnacentral:rRNA from 1 species
AACGAACGCUUGCUGCAUGCUUUAUACAUGCAAGUCGAACGGAGGCCCUAGCUUGCUAGGUGUCCUUAGUGGCGCACGGGUGAGUAACACGUGGGAACAUACCUCAUAGUACGGAAUAACUGCGGGAAACUGUAGCUAAUACCGUAUAUUCCAGCAAUGGGAAAGAUUUAUCGCUAUGAGAUUGGCCCGCGCAAGAUUAGUUUGUUGGUAAGGUAAUGGCUUACCAAGGCUACGAUCUUUAGCUGGUUUGAGAGGAUGAUCAGCCACACUGGGACUGAGACACGGCCCAGACUCCUACGGGAGGCAGCAGUAGGGAAUAUUGGACAAUGGGGGAAACCCUGAUCCAGCAAUGCAGCGUGAGUGACGAAGGCCUUAGGGUUGUAAAACUCUUUCAUCGGUGAGGAUAAUGACAGUAGCCGAAGAAGAAGGACCGGCUAAUUCCGUGCCAGCAGCCGCGGUAAUACGGAAGGUCCUAGCGUUGUUCGGAAUUACUGGGCGUAAAGCGCAUGUAGGCGGAACAGAAAGUUAGAAGUGAAAUCCCUGGGCUCAACCUAGGAAUUGCUUUUAAAACUUCUGUUCUGGAAUUCAGGAGAGGAAAAUGGAAUAUCCAGUGUAGAGGUGAAAUUCGUAGAUAUUGGAUGGAACACCAGUGGCGAAGGCGAUUUUCUGGACUGAUAUUGACGCUGAGNUGAG